rnacentral:tRNA from 1 species
GCCGACGUGGCGGAAUAGGCAGACGCGCUAGACUCAAAAUCUGGUACCCGUAAGGGUGUGUGGGUUCAAUUCCCUCCGUCGGCACCA